UACAGAGGUCCCAAGCGUUGUUCGGAUUUACUGGGCGUAAAGGGUGCGUAGGUGGUCGGGUAAGUCUCAUGUGAAAUCCCGCAGCUUAACUGCGGAACGGCAUGGGAUACUAUUCGGCUCGAGGAUUGGAGGGGGGACUGGAAUACUUGGUGUAGCAGUGAAAUGCGUAGAUAUCAAGUGGAACACCAGUGGCGAAGGCGAGUCCCUGGACAAUACCUGACACUGAGGCACGAAAGCUAGGGGAGCAAACAGG
rnacentral:rRNA from 1 species